rnacentral:lncRNA from 1 species
UCCCAGCCUCCCACUCCCACAGAGUGGUUGAAUAUGCAUAAAUCAAAUGCACUUUAAUUCAAGAACGCUCUCUACUUCAAACAUUAGAGAUGUCUUUUGGCCUCUCAGUUCUAUCCUGAAGCUUGCUUCCUGUUCUGUGCUCAAAACGAGCUCAAAACAAUUGUAUGCCUGAGAUACUGUUUCCAUGGAAGAAGUUUAAUGAAUUCUAGCAACCUUAAUUAGACAAAUUAAAUAGCCACACAAAACCUAUGUCUGGGCACCACCAAUCCUUCUGAUUAUCUAGAAAGACUGGCAAUUUUUUUCUUUCCCGGACAAAGCCCUGUUCUUUUCAAAUUUUUAUUUGUUCUUUGUUGCCUUUCUUCUAUGAAAUGAUUCACUCACUUGGUUGACUUUUGAUGUAGUACCUGAGUGUUUUUAAAAGGCAUGAAGGUUAAAACCUGUUCCAUUUCUGAUACUUUUGCAUGUGGUAAAAUGUAAACUAUUUGAAAUGGCUGAAGUGAAUGCUUGGUGUACAUUUGUAUUGAUAUGUGCGGUGGGAGUGGAGUGCAGGAGGACUGGAGUUCACAACUUCUCAGCAAAGUGUUACACCUCUCAGAACGGACAUCUAGACCACACAGUUACCCUUUUGCUAUGGAUGGGUGUGUCUUCCUCAGUUCUCACUUUGUAGAGCUGCACUUUUUAAAGUUCAGCUCAGACAGCUGCUGGCACAAAGAGGGCCAUACUGAAGACUCCAUGGAGAGAGUAAGAAUGUUCUCCCCUGUGUCUGAGCUCUUGCCCUUGCCGUUCCUUCUGCCAGAGACAGCCCUCUUUCUUCAGAACCGCUUCAACCAGACCCCAUGAACUUCCCCGGACCCCAGAGCUCAUUUCAAUUAGGAACUUCCUUGGAGACCUGAGCCCCAGCCAAGGUCAAGUACCUUUGCCAUUGUUCUUAUAAGCUUUCUACUUGUUCUUCUAGUUACUUAAGUUAGCUUGCAUUUGAUUCCCUGAGUCAUUAUUUGAUUAAGGUCUGGUGUCCCCUUUUAGAUUGAAAACACCCAAAGAACAGCAGCUGUGUCCUUUUUUUCUCACUACUGCAUCUUCAGCACACUCCCUGGUACCUGAUACGUGCUCAAUAUUUGUUGGUUGAAUGAAUAGAUUGGAUCCGUUGGGGACUCCUAGAAAUGACAGGAGGAGUCUUUGAAGAGGACCUAAAGCCCAGCAAAAGAAAAUUAAGAGAGAGUCAGAGAAAUAUAUUUCAUUAUAGUUAGCAUGGCUUCAUUGUCCCUGGGCAGCUGGAUGGUAACAGACGACACAAUGUUAAUAGAUUAUAGCACAUAUACAUGAUGGCAUAUUAUGCAACCACUGGAAAUCACAUUUGAUUUGUCUCAUACACAUAGAAAGGAACACCAUGUAGAUAUUCAAAUUAUAUUGCAGAUUUAUGUUUAACAUGUAAAAAUGAUCCCGAUAUAUUAUUCAAUAUUAAAAAAGCAGGUUGUAGAACAAUUUGUAGAAGGUGAUAUUGCUUUGUUUAAAAUUAGUAUAAAAUUAUAAAUAUGUGCUGAUCAUAUGCCAGGCACUGUGAGAAACACUUUACAUUUAUAUGAAAUAUCUUAUAAGAACCCUAAAAGGAAGAUACUUUUAUCUCCAUUUGCUAACUCUGGCCACUCUUCCCCCUGAUGUUCCUCCAAUGUACUGGAUUAAUCAUGUCUUUUACUCUGUACUCUUUUUGAUCCUUUGACAUCUCAGGUCAAAGAUAAAAGAUAAAGAAAGAUAAAAGAAAAUAGAUAAAGAAAGAUAAAGAUAAUAAUGAGCUUUUACUGGUAGAACACUUGCCUGUAGCUCUAUAUUAAUAUCAUAACUACUUUAACAACUAUGUUAGUAAUGAUCCCCUGAAGUUAGGAUUAUUUACUUCCUCUUUUUCCUAAAUUUUAUGCAAUGAAUAUGGGUUAAUUUUGCAACAUAACAUAAUUCAUUUAAAAAUACAUGUAUAAAAAUAAAUAAAUAAAUAAAAAUACAUGUAUAUGCUUUUUAAUGACAAAAAUGUUCU